CCUACGGGUGGCAGCAGUGGGGAAUAUUGCACAAUGGGCGCGAGCCUGAACCAGCCAAGUCGCGUGAGGGAAGACGGUCCUAUGGAUUGUAAACCUCUUUUGUCGGGGAGCAAAAGACGCCACGCGUGGCGUUCCGAGAGUACCCGAAGAAAAAGCAUCGGCUAACUCCGUGCCAGCAGCCGCGGUAAUACGGAGGAUGCGAGCGUUAUCCGGAUUUAUUGGGUUUAAAGGGUGCGCAGGCGGAAGAUCAAGUCAGCGGUAAAAUUGAGAGGCUCAACCUCUUCGAGCCGUUGAAACUGGUUGUCUUGAGUGAGCGAGAAGUAUGCGGAAUGCGUGGUGUAGCGGUGAAAUGCAUAGAUAUCACGCAGAACUCCGAUUGCGAAGGCAGCAUACCGGCGCUCAACUGACGCUCAUGCACGAAAGUGUGGGUAUCGAACAGGAUUAGAUACCCUAGUAGUC
rnacentral:rRNA from 1 species